rnacentral:rRNA from 1 species
UUGGGAAUAUUGCGCAAUGGACGACAGUCUGACGCAGCGACGCCGCGUGAAGGAUGAAGGUUUUCGGAUCGUAAACUUCUUUUAUAGGGGAAGAUUGUGACUGUACCCUAUGAAUAAGGGCCUGCUAACUACGUGCCAGCAGCAGCGGUAAUACGUAGGGCCCGAGCGUUGUCCGGAUUUAUUGGGCGUAAAGAGUUCGUAGGUGGUUAUGUAAGUCGGGUUUUAAAUUCCCAGGCUCAACUUGGGUGCUGGAUUCGAAACUACAUAACUUGAGAAUAUCAGGGGUAAGUGGAAUUAGCGGUGUAGCAGUGAAAUGCGUUGAUAUCGCUAAGAACACCAAUGGCGAAGGCAGCUUACUAUGAUUUUUCUGACACUGAGGAACGAAAGCGUGGGGAGCGAACGGG